UACGUAGGUGGCAAGCGUUGUCCGGAUUUACUGGGCGUAAAGAGCGCGCAGGCGGUCGGAUAAGUCGAAUGUGAAAGCCCCCGGCUCAACUGGGGAGGGUCAUUCGAUACUGUUCGACUCGAAGGCAGGAGAGGGAAGUGGAAUUCCCGGUGUAGUGGUGAAAUGCGUAGAUAUCGGGAGGAACACCAGUGGCGAAGGCGGUUGCCUGGGGCUUUGCUGACGCUGAUGCGCGAAAGCGUGGGGAGCGAUCCGG
rnacentral:rRNA from 1 species